rnacentral:rRNA from 1 species
AUUGAACGCUGGCGGCAGGCCUAACACAUGCAAGUCGAGCGGAUGAGGGAAGCUUGCUUCCCGAUUUAGCGGCGGACGGGUGAGUAAUGCCUAGGAAUCUGCCUAUUAGUGGGGGAUAACGUUCCGAAAGGAACGCUAAUACCGCAUACGUCCUACGGGAGAAAGUGGGGGAUCUUCGGACCUCACGCUAAUAGAUGAGCCUAGGUCGGAUUAGCUAGUUGGUGGGGUAACGGCUCACCAAGGCGACGAUCCGUAGCUGGUCUGAGAGGAUGAUCAGCCACACUGGAACUGAGACACGGUCCAGACUCCUACGGGAGGCAGCAGUGGGGAAUAUUGGACAAUGGGCGAAAGCCUGAUCCAGCCAUGCCGCGUGUGUGAAGAAGGUCUUCGGAUUGUAAAGCACUUUAAGUUGGGAGGAAGGGCAGUAAGUUAAUACCUUGCUGUUUUGACGUUACCGACAGAAUAAGCACCGGCUAACUCUGUGCCAGCCGCCGCAGUAA